rnacentral:rRNA from 1 species
UACGUAGGGGGCAAGCGUUGUCCGGAAUCGUUGGGCGUAAAGAGCGUGUAGGCGGCUUGGCAAGUCUGACGUGAAAGCCCGCGGCUCAACCGCGGAUUGUCGUUGGAAACUGCCUCGCUAGAGUCCGGAAGAGGAGAGCGGAAUUCCUGGUGUAGCGGUGGAAUGCGCAGAUAUCAGGAAGAACACCCGUGGCGAAGGCGGCUCUCUGGGACGGUACUGACGCUGAGACGCGAAAGCGUGGGGAGCGAACAGG